rnacentral:rRNA from 1 species
AUUGAACGCUGGCGGCAGGCCUAACACAUGCAAGUCGAACGAGUGGCGGACGGGUGAGUAAUGUCUGGGAAACUGCCCGAUGGAGGGGGAUAACUACUGGAAACGGUAGCUAAUACCGCAUACCAUCGGAUGUGCACAUAUGGGCGUAGCUAGUAGGUGGGGUAACGGCUCACCUAGGCGACGAUCCCUAGCUGGUCUGAGAGGAUGACCAGCCACACUGGAACUGAGACACGGUCCAGACGCCUACGGGAGGCAGAAGUGGGGAAUAUUGCACAAUGGGCGCAAGCCUGAUGCAGCCAUGCAGCGUGUAUGAAGAAGGCCUUCGGGUUGUAAAGUACGUUCAGCGGGGAGGCGUGACCCGCAGAAGAAGCACCGGCUAACUCCGUGCCAGCAGCCGCGGUAAUAC